GAAAGCGGGGGCAACCUCGUGAGUAAAGUGGCGUACGGGUGAGUAACACGUGGGUAAUCUACCCUUUAGUGGGGAAUAACGCUGGGAAACCGGCGCUAAUACCGCAUAAUCCCGGGAGGGGAAAGCAGCAAUGCGCUGAAGGAGGAGCCCGCGGCCGAUUAGUUAGUUGGUGGGGUAAAGGCCCACCAAGGCGAAGAUCGGUAGCCGGCCUGAGAGGGCACACGGCCCUCACUGGCAUUGAAACACGGGCCAGAGGAAUACGGGAGGCAGCAUUGUGAUCUUGUGAUAAACUCGAGCCUCCGGACGAUCUGCG
rnacentral:sRNA from 1 species